UGGAAAAUAGCUCGAAAUAAGGUCUGUGGUUGACACAAAUUGAAGAGACAGAUCACGUCUUGUGCUAUUUACUGUGUGUUUAUAUAUGUUAUAUGACUGUGUUCGCUUAUGAGAACAUACGAUACAAUCGUCAGGAACUACUGGAUAUUGGCUUCCAACACAAGCUUCCCAUUCUUAGGGAAUUCCACCGCAAUCACAACAUCCCAGACGAGGUAGCGAGAUCACCGGAAUCCCCGUGGAUUGUUGUCGGGCCAGGCAGGCGGCAUAGACGGCGGAGAGAGAGGAAGCAAAAGCGGGGCUGCCGGUCCGGUCUCCUGUUGAGGCUAAGGAAUCAGCCACACAAACCUCCCCUGCCGAGUAUGUACCUCACCAACGCCAGGUCCAUAGUGCACAAAACGGACGAUCUGGUAUUACAACUCGCCGGAAACACCUACGUUUGUGACUGUUGUUUACUUGUGAUCACUGAGACCUGGCUUCACCCACAAAUCUCAGAUGCUAGCGUGCAGCGAGCAGGCCGCACACUACUCCGCUGGGACAGAGACAAGGACUCUGGUAAGAGCCGAGGGGGGGGUCUCUGUAUGUACGUACAUAACAACUGGUGUAAUAACGGCAUCAUCAUUGACCAUCACUGCUCUCCUGACCUGGAGUUCAUGUCGGUUAAAUGCUGCCCGUUCUUUCUACCUAGAGAGCUAACUGUAGUGAUUGUCACGGCUGUGUAUAUACCACCACAAGCUAACGUCAACACUCCACUCUCCCUCCUGCUAAACCCCAUCAACCACCAACAGCAGGCUCACCCCGGUGGCGUUCACAUUGUUGCAGGAGAUUUCAAUAAGGCCAAACUAAAAUCUGUCCUGCCUAAAUUCUACCAGCAUGUCAAGUGUCCGACCAGAGGGAAAAACACUCUUGAUCAUGUGUACUCCAACAUCAAGCACGCAUACAGAGCCAUACCUCUCCCCCACCUGGCCUGUCAGAUCAUAUCUCCCUGCUACUGACCCCGGCAUACAACCCCCUUAGACGGAGAACAAGUCCAACAAGAAAGUCUGUUACAAUCUGGCCUGAGGAUGCACUUGCUCAGCUUCAGGACUGCUUUGAACACACCCAGUGGGAUGUAUUUGAACACCAGCACCUGGACCUGGCAAACAACACAGAGACGGUACUGUCCUACAUUAAAUACUGUAUCAACAAUGUCACUGUGGUAAAAAGCAUCAGGGUUUUCCCAAACCAGAAACCCUGGAUGACUGGCCGGGUCCGCAUGCUGCUCAAGGCCCGUGACUCAGCCUUCAGAUCAGGGGACAGAGCUCUCUACAGUGCUGCUCGAGGCGACCUGAGGAGGGGAAUUACAAAAGCCAAGACAGACUACAAAAAAAGGAUUGAGGACCACCUCACAAGCAACAACCCUAGGCAGGUGUGGCAGGGCAUUAAGAACAUAACCAACUACAGGGGGUGUGACACGACAACUGGGGACUGGGACGUCAUAGCCAUAGCUCUCCACUCUGCACUGAGCCACCUGGAGCAUCGUGGGAGCUACGUCAGAUUGCUCUUUAUUGACUACAGCUCAGCGUUCAACACAAUCAUCCCCGACAUUCUAGUUUGCAAACUAUCAAACCUAGGCCUUCCCCCACCCACCUGUUCCUGGAUCAAAGAUUUCCUCACUAACCGCCCCCAGCGUGUGAGACUUGGCCCCCAUCACUCCUCCACCCGCACUCUCAGCACCGGCUCUCCUCAGGGAAUAACAUCAAUGCCCUAUACCAAAACAUUUGAAUCACACCUUUCCCUCAUAAUGCUGAUGUUGGUCUAAACUUUAAUUCACUUAUAAUAUUAGGCUAGUUUAAAUUACAGCUAUAUCUAUGAUCUAACUAACACCUUUUUUUGGAUGGAUGAGCGAGAUAUGAUAACAAAUAUGAUAACAUAUAUAAUGUAUUUUUAUUUCAGACUGGCAAGGUGAAUGCAGAUGCUUUUCAGAGAAGCUUUCUGCAGUAUGUGUACUGCACAUUUGAAGAGAAUAAACUUCUGGGUAAAGAGCCAUAUGUCUGUCCAACCUGUAGCCCUGAAAUGUUGGCUGUUUCAGUAGAUGGCAAUAGGAAACUUUACAGGUUCCAGAAAACAAACCAGAGUGAAGAGCCAGGCUUCUUUGACGGAGUGUUUUUAGCCCAAGACUCUGAGGUUUCCACUUUUGUGGAGGAUGUUCGAGGGGCUGUCAAAAGUGUGAGUUUUAAAUGAAGCAGAGCAAAAUGUAUCUCACCUUUUUUAAUAACUAAUUGAAGUUAAAAUAGUAGUAACAAAGUUGCCUUCAUAUUUUUUUGGAGAUGGGAUAGAAGUGUUGAGACCAGAUGACAGGGUGAUGAGGUUAGCAAUGCGGUCAAACUGUCACAAACAUUAUUGCUGUAAAACUGGAUUGAAAAAACAGCUAAAUUCUAAUCCAGAAUAUAUUACACAUUUGGAGCCUUCCAAUUAUCCAAAAACGGGUUUGUUAUUAUCCAGGGAGUUGCAUAUCCAGAUGAAUCUGUCAGUCGAGCACAAAAAACUUGUGUGUAAUAGUUGAUAUGUUUGACAAUACCGUCAGUUGGUUCCACUAUCCAGUGUUUUGAAAUAACUUCUGAUAAUGAUUCUCUAAAAACGAUUUACUUUGGUAGACUGCAGGAAAAGCAAUGUGUGGGGAAUCUCACUGGACAGCUGCAAGGGAGACCAUUUACACGAGAACGAAACAGGUUGUAUCUGCAUAGUUUCUCUUACGUAUAGCCCUUUCAUUUACACGCGGC